UGGUUUUGGACCUGUGUCUGCCAGAAGAUCCACCGUCUUUGUGCGGCCGACUACUGGCGCCUUGUCUCGUUGGCUUGUUGGCUUAUGUUGCCGUUGCCUUUCAAAACUUUGCAUGUUCGAACCCAAACUCCGGGUAGUGGUGCUUUGUAUUCGGUUGCCUCGCGGUGGCCGCCUUUGGGUGUGUUGCUGUGGCCUAAUGGUGCUUGCGGCGUUUUCGUGUUGUGCCGGCAUGUUUACUCUGACGAUGCAAUCAAGAAAACCUUGCUCUCGCUGUUGGUCUCGGAUGUUGCCUACUUUAAAGUAUCUUGGCGAAGUUGCCUUGACCCUACCCUAAGAAGCUCUCCGAACUGAGAACAACCGGAACAGGUGUUGCCUCUACCUCUCCACAGUUAGUGGUAGGAUUACGCAACAUUCUGCGCCGAUCCUCAGACAAGUAGGAACGAGCUUGGCCAACUCAAUUGCGACAACCGGCGCGGCUGUUGGCUCUGCCUUGACACGCAAGUGGAUUGGUGGACAACUUCCGAUGCUGGACGUCAGAGAGGACG
rnacentral:misc_RNA from 1 species